ACCGUAAAAUCGACUUUAUUCCUGGGGUUUUCGCUUCGAAAAUCAAAAGACGAAUCGAAGCGGAAGUGCUCGUCUUCUCGGCUUCUUCUAACUAGGUAAUUCGAGCAAGCAACUCCAUCUAGUAGCCAUUCUUCUGCGGAUGGGCUUGCUCCAGGAGUCCCGGGCGAUUCCGGAUUAGCGCCGUGUUAUUUGGUCUCCGAUCCGAGGCGGUAAUUUAGGGCAGGUUUUUUUUUUCACCUAAAAUUUUGAUUUGGGGGUCAAUGCUGAGUUGCUUUUAGUUUUAGCUUUAGGUAGUAGAAAAGAGGGUGCCCGGUAAUAUCUGGGGGUUUUGUUGGAUUCGACGUUUUGGAGUCGCUUUCGUAUGCCCGUUUAACCAAUUUUGAUGCGUUAUACCAUAGAUCCUGCUGGAUGGAUGGUGGAUUGCUGCAGGUUUCUUCGGUCAUCUGAAAGAUUCAUUCUUAUCCAACCAGGAACUAAUGGCUGGUCUCUAUGUGUGAUUAUGAAGAUCUGGACUUAAUCUGAGAUGUCUUUAUCAAGUGAACAUAAAUAUAUCAGCUUGGCAAAGUUGACUAGAGAAGCAAUUAAGAGAUAGUAGAGUGUCCAUGGAAGGCGACCUCAUUAUGUUGCAACGUGGGAGCAGCAGUACCAAUUGGUUAGUUCAGCUAACCUGUGAUGACAGACUCGUAAACAUCCCAUUUAUGUGAUUGACUGUUCUUGCUGUGAUUUUUUCCCCAUUUUCUAUGCUCGACUAGAUUACCUUGUCUAAUGAAACAGCACAGC